GACGAACGCUGGCGGCGUGCUUAACACAUGCAAGUCGAACGGAAAGGCCCUGCUUUUGGGGGGUUCUCGAGUGGCGAACGGGUGAGUAACACGUGAGUAACCUGCCCUUGACUGGGGGAUAACUUCAGGAAACUGGGGCUAAUACCGGAUAGGAACGCCUGCUGCAUGGUGGGGGUGGGAAAGGUUCGGCGGUUGGGGAUGGACUCGCGGCUUAUCAGCUUGUGGGUGGGGUAGUGGCUUACCAAGGCUUUGACGGGUAGCCGGCCUGAGAGGGUGACCGGCCACAUUGGGACUGAGAUACGGCCCAGACUCCUACGGGAGGCAGCAGUGGGGAAUAUUGCACAAUGGGCGGAAGCCUGAUGCAGCAACGCCGCGUGCGGGAUGACGGCCUUCGGGUUGUAAACCGCUUUCGCCUGUGACGAAGCGUGAGUGACGGUAAUGGGUAAAGAAGCACCGGCUAACUACGUG
rnacentral:rRNA from 1 species